UACAGAGGGUGCGAGCGUUAAUCGGAAUUACUGGGCGUAAAGCGCACGUAGUCGGCUUUGCAAGUCGGGUGUGAAAUCCCCGGGCUCAACCUGGGAACUGCAUCCGAGACUGCAUUGCUAGAGUAUGGGAGAGGGAAGCGGAAUUUCUGGUGUAGCGGUGAAAUGCGUAGAUAUCUGGAGGAACACCGGUGGCGAAGGCGGCAUCCUGGACCAAUAUUGACGCUGAGGAGCGAAAGCUAGGGGAGCAAACGGG
rnacentral:rRNA from 1 species